GGUUGCGAUCAUACCAGCACUAAUGCACCGGAUCCCAUCAGAACUCCGCAGUUAAGCGUGCUUGGGCGAGAGUAGUACUAGGAUGGGUGACCCCCCUGGGAAGUCGUCGUGUUUCAACCC
rnacentral:rRNA from 1 species